UGAGUCAGUCGGACGGUCGCGUUGCACCCCGGUGCACCGAGGAACGUCCGGGCUCCGUAGAGCAAGGUGGUGGGUAACGCCCACCCGGGGUGACCCGCGGGACAGUGCCACAGAAAACAGACCGCCACGCUGGACCAGGCCUCGGCCGGGGCCGGCGGGGUAAGGGUGAAACGGUGGUGUAAGAGACCACCAGCGUGCCGGGUGACCGGCGCGGCUAGGUAAACCCCACCUGGAGCAAGACCAGACAGGAUGCGCUCGAGGGCUGCUCGCCCGAGCAUCCGGGUAGGUCGCUCGAGGCACGUGGCAACGCGUGCCCUAGAUGGAUGGCCGUCACCCGCGCGUGGGCAACCGCGCGCGGAGACAGAACCCGGCGUACAGACUGACUCAUCCG
rnacentral:RNase_P_RNA from 1 species